AAGUGUCAAGGUGUGUCGAAGUAAUACGAUGUGAUUUUUCCUCUUCCAUUGCUGCGUGGGGAUAGUUGCCACUACAGCCUAUCCGGUCGGAGGACGGGGGAUUGUCUCUUCGUAACGGGAGUUAAGAAACGGACCCGGAAUAUGAUGUGACCGGCGACAAUAUUCCGGACCCGAUUAAAUCAGUCAAGGUCAACAUGGAGAGGAACGCGAGUGAUAAUGGAGACGCCGUGGGAGAUGGACAGAUGCUUUAGUAUUCCAAUGGUGCCCUCCUCAAGAAUAAUCAUCGAAGCAACUUAAAAAAAAAUAAGAGAACAUGACAACGUUACCACCACCACUUUCAUCGAUCAACAGUACCUCAUCCACCCCCUGGAAGUUUUUGGGUUCAGUGAGUUCCGUGAGCCCGGUGAGUCCUCUGGAGGAGGACAUCGGAACUACCCCCUCGAAAAUCAAGGGGGCUCUCAAUGAAACCGGAUUUUAUAUCGAUGAUGAUGGAGAAUCUAUGCUAAAUGAUCUGAAAACUGUUAUACUAGCGUGCGUAGCCACGCUGGUCCCUUUGAUAAUCACACUUGCAAUGAUAUUUGGAAUGAGGAAAUUGUGGAAACAGCACAGAACAAGGAAAAAGGCCAGGAAGUACGACGGGGUGCUUGUAAGGGAAAACACAUCGGGUUCAACCUCGAAACCACUUCAUACGCAUCUUUUGGAUGACAAAGGGUCGACAGAAACCCAUAUGGAUCUGAGCUACGAAGCGGUGGAAAUCUGCGAAGAGGUGUCAUCCGUAUCCAAUAAUCGAUCCAGUAAUGUCAAUGGGAGCAUCAUAACUAUGACCUUGACUAAUAGUCAUUUGAUUGUUGAAACCGAAGAGAGAAAUGACAUAGAAGAAGACAGUAGAGAAACAACGAUGCGUUACUCUCCAGGGGCAAGAGGAGUGUUCGUGGUAGAAGUACAGCAGGGUAUACGCAGAAGUCCUGGAUCAGGAGGUCCCGCCUCGAUCGUAGAACCCGAGAGAUCGAUGUCGCUUAGCGAUCAAUGCGCCCUCGUCCAUAACCCACCACCUGAAAAGUUUGGCAAUGAAGAAACGGGGGAAGAAUGCGAUUAUGGCGAGAAUUACGUCGACACCGCUUCGCCGACCGAGGAAACGAUUAAAACAAUAGCAACAAACACCGGUCUUUCAACAUCCAGCAGCAGCUUAAACUCGCAGCGUCACAGCUACAGCUACACCACGCAGGUCAGCUACGAGCGCAGCUACGGCUACGAGAACUACCUCGGCUACGACGAAAGCGCCUCCGGAGGUCGACUACCGUUAGAAGAGGACACCAAACCGAAAAUCACUUCGGCAUUAUACAAGAGCAACACGAAAAGUAUGAGUUUCGACGUGGGUAUGGACAAAGCGAGAGGGAAACUCAGCUUGGGUCAAAACAGUUCGCUGGAUAACGUGCUGGAAACUAACGGUUUCGAGGAGUUUUCCGCGAGUUUCUUUAAUAAAUCAAAAUGUCAAAAUGAGGAAAAACCUGCUGCUAGUGAGUUAGAUUUAAGUGAAAAUAAUGGUGAUGUAGUUAAUAAGGAUUUAGAUUAAGAUAUGUGUGUAUAUAUAUUAUACAUAGAUAGAGAGGAGGAGACAGAUAUAUUUACGAGGUGCUAUAUUUGAGAAUAAUUUAAAGGAAUGUACUAUAUUAGGAUAGCAUUAAUUAAUUAAUUUAGAAGAGGCUGUAGUAGUACAUGGGAAUAAAAUAGACAUGAAUAAGUCUCAAUACUGUAUUUUUUUCUUGGGUUCUUAAUUGAUUUGGGUCCAAAUUGUAUGGGGUGAUCAAGAAGCCCAACUUGUUAAAUGUUGAACAGUGAGGCUUAAUUAAACAUAGUUCAAUUAAGCCUUAUGCGUUAGUUAUAACAGACAUACGUAAUUUUUAAGAUCACGUUUUAUUUUAUUUUUAAUUAUGCUUGUAUUUGGUUUAAGGCGCACUUGUUCCUAUCUGUAAGAAUAAAUAGAGUUUUUAAUUACUAAA
rnacentral:misc_RNA from 1 species